GAUGAACGCUGGCGGCGUGCCUAAUACAUGCAAGUCGAGCGAACAGACGAGGAGCUUGCUCCUCUGACGUUAGCGGCGGACGGGUGAGUAACACGUGGAUAACCUACCUAUAAGACUGGGAUAACUUCGGGAAACCGGAGCUAAUACCGGAUAAUAUAUUGAACCGCAUGGUUCAUUAGUGAAAGACGGUUUUGCUGUCACUUAUAGAUGGAUCCGCGCCGCAUUAGCUAGUUGGUAAGGUAACGGCUUACCAAGGCAACGAUGCGUAGCCGACCUGAGAGGGUGAUCGGCCACACUGGAACUGAGACACGGUCCAGACUCCUACGGGAGGCAGCAGUAGGGAAUCUUCCGCAAUGGGCGAAAGCUUGACGGAGCAACGCCGCGUGAGUGAUGAAGGUCUUCGGAUCGUAAAACUCUGUUAUUAGGGAAGAACAAAUGUGUAAGUAACUAUGCACGUCUUGACGGUACCCAAUCAGAAAGCCACGGCUAACUACGUG
rnacentral:rRNA from 1 species